rnacentral:lncRNA from 1 species
AUUCAUGAAGAUUCAAGAAAAAUUGAGAAUGUAUUAUUAAUAAGACUUCAUGUGUAACUUGAUGCUAGUGUUAAGAUGGCAGAUUCAGGGAUUCCCCCAUAACCCAAUACAGAAGAUGCAAACAGAAUGUUUUAUUAGGGUGUGAAGAGUCCACAGAGCUGGGUCUCAGGUGAAAGACUGUCACUCCAACCAAAUAAAGAAAUGUAUCAACCAUUUUUCAAAACUGUACNAGACAUCAGAAAUUUCCCAAAAGAGAGGGCUAGAGAUGAGGGUGGAUAAAGCCACAGAUGGAAGGAGGGAGGUGAGGGAAAAUGGGCAAUCACUGUGGGACUAAACAUCCCCUUGCACCCAACCUACAUAAAUGCUUCCCUGUUUGAGUAAACUCAGGUCCAUGACAUUUUUGCCUAUUGGUAUUAGCCCUUUGGCUAGGAACAGGAUCCUGACUUUUAAUGUUUCUGCCUUAAUUGAACCUUGAUACAGUCUCUUAUUCAUCUGAGUUUCUGCCCUAUCAGACUUGUCCUACUUGACCAAAGAAAAGAUGGAGUUAUUUUAUAGUACCUAGAGGACUCAUAUUACUGGGUAACUGAAAAAUGGGGCUAUUCUCCUGAUAUGGUGAGAAGAAUAUUCUUGGGACCCAUAGAAGAAAAUGCAACCAUGUAAACAUUUACUGUUUUAAAACUUAGACUCUACAAACCAGUUUGCUCUUAGUUGUAAGGGAGGAGGUGAGGUCUUACCUCAUUUGUAGAUGAUCUUUGUACUUUAAAUAAUUAAGAAAAAUCUCAUCAUGAAUUAUACAAACUUCAGAUUUUAAUGGUGUCAUGUGACUGUUUUUCACUAGAAUCUCUUUUAUCUAAUCUUAUUCCCACCUCCUCCUAUAUUCCUUAAUUUUUUUCCCCUUCAGGAUUUUAUAUUCCUUUUUAUGUGUGACAUCAUAACUAAAUUUAAGAAAAAUGUAAGUUACCUAAUGAUUGAGUGUCUGCUACAUUGCCAAUCAUUUUUCUGGCUUAUAUUUAUAAAUUAAGGAUAUACUAUGACAUUUCUAGAAGAAUUAACAUCAAAAUGCAUUUUUAUUGAAAAGCACAUUCUUCCUGGUUGUUGUUUUUUUUCUACCUAAGUGGGAAAACUCAAUUUUAGAAUAUACUGAAUCUUUGUUCAAGCCAUCUAAGCUUAUUUUUAGUAUGGGAAAAGGACCAGAAGUAAUGACAAGCGUCAUUGGAUAUUGAAGAUCCAUAGAAAAUGAAAAUAUUCAUACAUAUGAAAUAAAAGUCUUCACAAUAAAUACUAUAAGACGUCUUACACAAAGAAAACCACUUGUGAAUUGUAAUGACAAUUCCUGGCAUGUAGUCAUAAUAAGUAUCUCUAUAUGCAUAACCAGAUCUUAGCUAACUCUGAAUCAUGAGGAGACAUUAUAAUAAGAAAAUUUCUAUAUACUUGGUAAGCUUUUGUUAGCUACUGUAUCAGUCAUUGUGACAAUCCUUUCCACUAGCCAAAUUCUUUAUUUCUAUCCCUUUCAUUAUUCUUGAUGGUAACUCUAAUAAACAAUAAAAUGUCCAAAACAUAGUAAGCAGUAGGAAAGCAGCUGCCUUCCCUUCUUUGGGAAGACAGCAAGGAAAAGUCAGUUCGUCCUAAUGUUUUUUUUGUACCAAGCUAAAAGAAACAUAUCAUCAGAUACAGAAAAGAUACUAUUUUCAUCACAAUAUAAUUUCAUUUACAGCUCCUUUGCUAGAAAUGCUUAAGUAAGCAUUUUACCUCUUCAACUAAAUUUACUUUCAGUUAAAUCAUAAUUUCCAAGAAAAACUAUAAAGAGUAUCUGAAUUGUUAGUGCUAUCAGGACAUGGGAGAUAUGGAUAACUUACAAACAAACAAACAAAAUAUAACAGUUGGAGGAUAAAGUGUUCAUAUGGCCAUAAACCAUCUCUGGAAAUUUCAUGACAAACCUCUUGACAUAAGACUCAAGCAAUUAUGACAGCCUUUCUGAUACAGAGGUGGAAGAAAAGUCCCUACAAUAAUAACAACAUAGAUUUUCUUCCCAGCUCAGUCCACCACCCAUUUCCAGGACAAUUCACAUAACAAAAAGAGGCAGGAAGAAACAUUCCUUACAUUGUUUUUCCAGGGCUAUUCUGAUGAUAGGCCAUGGCAAGAAAGCUCAGUGUCCAACAUCACAUAUUCCAAGUUCUAGGUAUAUGCUGUACAUAUCAGAUAGGAGAUAGAACAGUGUUAGCCAGUUUAUUAUGCCAGUGCUUACACACCCUGUCACAAGUCUCAAACUGAGAGGUUAGGUGCUAAAGAAGAUUUUUAGGAAAACAGCAUAAAAGGACAGCAAGCUCAUUGGGCAAAUAUGUAAGCUUAUUCAAAGCUUUCUUACAUGGAAGAGAUAAGUAAGGUAUAAACAUGGGAGAAAGAAGAUGUAUGAACUUUUCUAACAAAUCUCAGAUCAUUUCACAUCUUUUCAGUAAUACCAGCAUGUGAUGUUCAACAUAUAGCCCCACUUGCCAAAUCAUUAUUUUCUCUAUGCCUAUAUUUUUAUUUUUUGGAUUAGUUUUCAAAUGUUUAGGCAGUCACCUUUAACCUAAAGAGGCAUACACUCAUCAUUUUGACUGCCUCAGUGGUUUAAUGUAUAGCCAAAGAGUUUUGUUUAGAGUACCAGAGACUCGGGUCCACAAAGCCUCCCCACUCCCCAUUUCAUUGGUCUCCUACUCAUUCAGGAAAAAUCUUAUGAAAUUUCACAGUAUUUAGGGACAUGAUUUUCUGGCACAGAUUAAUUCCCAACAAAUAAAAUUAGAAAGUAAAUAGUUCAGAGUAGUUCAUGGUGCACAUGUUAACAAAUUUAAAAGAAUAAAAAUCAUACAGAGUAUACUCUUAAGACCAUAUAGAAUUAAGCUAGAAGUCACAGUUAGAUAGAAAAUCUCAAAUGUAUGUGGAGAUAACGUAUUUCUAAAUCACACAUGGUUCAAAGAAGUUUCAAGAUAAAUUUUAAAAUAUGUUGAACUAAAUGAAAAAAGAGCUUACCAAAUUUUUGUGAUAUGGCCAAAAUAAUGCUUACAGGGAAUUUGUUGCAUUGAAUGCAUGUAUUAGAGAAAAAAGAUCUAAAAUCAUUGAUAUACUAUUUGACCUUAAGGAUGAGAAAAAGGAAAGAAAAUUAAAUCCAGAGUAGGUAGAAGAAAAUAAAUAAUAAAAAUUAGAGUAAAAGUCAAUAAAAUUGAAAAGAAUAAAAUCAUAGUGAAAACUAAAAAAAACCCAAAACUUUGAAAAGAUCAAUGAAAUUGGACACUUUGUAGGCUCAC